rnacentral:rRNA from 1 species
AUCGAGUCUACCUUGCUGGUCGAGGGGUAACAAUGUCUUCGGACAGGCGACGACCGGCGCACGGGUGCGUAACGCGUAUGCAACCUACCUUUAACAGGAAGAUAGCCCCGAGAAAUCGGGAUUAAUACUCCAUAAUAUUUAUGAGUGGCAUCACUUAUAACUUAAAGUUCCGACGGUUAUGGAUGGGCAUGCGUAGCAUUAGCUUGACGGUGAGGUAACGGCUCACCGUAUUGGCUAUGAUGCUUAGGGGGUCUUAAAGGAUGAUCCCCCACACUGGUACUGAGACACGGACCAGACUCCUACGGGAGGCAGCAGUGAGGAAUAUUGGGCAAUGGACGAAAGUCUGACCCAGCCAUGCCGCGUGCAGGAUGACAGUCCUACGGAUUGUAAACUGCUUUUGUACGGGAAGAAACCUCUCUACGUGUAGAGAGCUGACGGUACCGUAAGAAUAAGCAUCGGCUAACUCCGUGCCAGCAGCCGCGGUAAUACGGAGGAUGCAAGCGUUAUCCGGAUUUAUUAGGUUUAAAGGGUGCGCAGGCGGAGAUGUAAGUCAGUGGUGAAAUCCUACAGCUUAACUGUAGAACUGCCAUUGAUACUGCUUCUCUUGAGUAUAGUUGAGGUAGGCGGAAUGUGUAGUGUAGCGGUGAAAUGCAUAGAUAUUACACAGAACACCGAUUGCGAAGGCAGCUUACUAAACUAUUACUGACGCUCAUGCACGAAAGCGUGGGGAGCGAACAGGAUUAGAUACCCUGGUAGUCCACGCCGUAAACGAUGAACACUCGUUGUCUGCGAUAUAAUGUAGGUGACUGAGCGAAAGCAUUAAGUGUUCCACCUGGGGGAGUACGUCGGCAACGAUGAAACUCAAAGGAAUUGACGGGGGCCCCGCACAAGCGGGAGGAGCAUGUGGUUUAAUUCGAAGAUACGC